UACGGAGGGGGCUAGCGUUGUUCGGAAUUACUGGGCGUAAAGCGCGCGUAGGCGGCUUUGUAAGUUAGAGGUGAAAGCCCGGAGCUCAACUCCGGAAUUGCCUUUAAGACUGCAUCGCUAGAAUCAUGGAGAGGUGAGUGGAAUUCCGAGUGUAGAGGUGAAAUUCGUAGAUAUUGGGAAGAACACCGGUGGCGAAGGCGGCUCACUGGCUCGUAACUGACGCUCAUGCACGACAGCGUGGGGAUCAAACAGG
rnacentral:rRNA from 1 species